UAUCCAAGAGAACUCCAAGAGAAUACAAUAAUCAAAACAUAACCCUAACCCUAAUUCUCUCAUCCUACUUAAAGCAUGCAAUUAAUUAAUCAAGCCAAAUGACUAAGGAGCCCUUGCCGCUCCCUCCUUUCCCUCCAAAGAGUUUGAAUUUGAAGUAUUGGUGGACCCUAUUCCUCUCCCUCUCUUUUUGCCGCCGCCCCUCCUUGAGUAAACCUGAACCGGUCCCUUAAGGACCGGUCUAACAAUUCGACAACCACUUCAUUGCCUUUUACUAUUUUUUGUGGUACGAUUGCUAGGUGACCUGCUAUAAACUUGUGGGAUCACAUAUGGAUUUUAUUGGGUUGUGUCUCUUACAUUUAUUCAUGAUUUAUAUUUCUUGGAUACAGCCAUCACUGCGUUGCAUUUUUGCUAGUUUUUGGGGUACGAUUGGGUUAUGAAAUAUAUAUUUUGCUAGAGGCUAUAUUUCAAUUUUGGAUGAGAUUGAGUUGAUCAAUUAUCUGGGAGGUUCUUGUUACUGCCAUUUCACGGAAAUUUUCUAUUAUUGGCUGGGGAGAUAUACUGGUUUGAUAGGAAUGGGAUUCUUUGUAUGGCAGCACUCGCAAUGUACUGGCUAUAUCAAUUAUUUUUAGCUUUUGGAUGUACUAACAAAAAAAUAUGUAUGCGAUGAUGAUUACCAAUAAUUAUAUUAGCUUCAACCAGGCUAUUGUCAUUUUAAUUCCAGGUAGCUCUUGGUCAUUUGGCUUACCAUAAUGACAAAUUUUUUUUAUUUCUUCUUAACUAAAGGGAAAAAUUGUGAGCGUCUUCUUGUCACAUAGUUUUAUUUUCUUUUGUCCAAUAAAAUUUCAUAUUUCAAUUGGGUGGCCUUAUUUUGGAUUGGCUGGAGGUAUUUUUUUCUAUUUUUGAUGAAACUUUUUGUCAUGAUUGUAAUCAUUUGCAAAUCAUUUUGUGUUUCAUGAAAUCUGCUUGCCCCUCUAAUCAUGAGUGGAGACAGUGCUGCCAUGAUUUUAUAUUAAGGUGCUGAAAGAUAUAUUGACUGUUUCUUCGACCAUCUUCCUCCUCCACAUUCUCUUCCGGUUCCCUCUUUUCAAUUUCGCCUUCUGAUGAGAGCUUCAAUUUGGCAGAUUUACCCUCACCAUGUUGUUUGUUCUUAAUGCUACGAAAAAGUCUGGGUAACUUUAUAAUUAUCUUUUGAUACCAAAAUAAAAUUCUGGGUAACUUUGUAAUUAUCUUUUGAUGCCAAAGAAAAUUCUUAAAGCCUCACUUGUAACUCGCUUACCAGUUCCAAACGCCAAUUAAGGACCACUGGCUUUGGCUACUUCGCCACCUGAGUUUCCCAUAUGACUAAUCUUUAUGGAAAGAUUUUCUGUCAGAUAUUCUGAAACAGAGACAUAAUAGAUUUUGACUUAUUAAAAUGACUUAAUACAGAUGUCUAUAAAACGUAAAAAAAUAGAAGACUCAGAUUUAUUUAUAUGAACUUGCAGCUAAUAUGUGUUAUUUGUAAA